UACGUAGGGUGCAAGCGUUGUCCGGAUUUAUUGGGCGUAAAGAGCUCGUAGGCGGUUUGUCGCGUCGGAUGUGAAAACCCAGGGCUCAACCCUGGGCCUGCAUUCGAUACGGGCAAACUAGAGUAUGGCAGGGGAGACUGGAAUUCCUGGUGUAGCGGUGAAAUGCGCAGAUAUCAGGAGGAACACCGGUGGCGAAGGCGGGUCUCUGGGCCAAAACUGACGCUGAGGAGCGAAAGCGCGGGGAGCGAACAGG
rnacentral:rRNA from 1 species